GACGGAGGAUGCAAGUGUUAUCCGGAAUCACUGGGCGUAAAGCGCACGUAGGCGGAUUGCUAAGUCAGGGGUGAAAUCCUGGAGCUCAACUCCAGAACUGCCUUUGAUACUGGCGAUCUUGAGUCCGGGAGAGGUGAGCGGAACUGCGAGUGUAGAGGUGAAAUUCGUAGAUAUUCGCAAGAACACCAGUGGCGAAGGCGGCUCACUGGCCCGGUACUGACGCUGAGGUGCGAAAGCCAGGGGAGCAAACGGG
rnacentral:rRNA from 1 species